UUGAACGCUGGCGGCAUGCCUUACACAUGCAAGUCGAACGGUAACAGGUCUUCGGAUGCUGACGAGUGGCGAACGGGUGAGUAAUACAUCGGAACGUGCCCAGACGUGGGGGAUAACGAGGCGAAAGCUUUGCUAAUACCGCAUACGAUCUAAGGAUGAAAGCAGGGGACCGCAAGGCCUUGUGCGUUUGGAGCGGCCGAUGGCAGAUUAGGUAGUUGGUGGGAUAAAAGCUUACCAAGCCGACGAUCUGUAGCUGGUCUGAGAGGACGACCAGCCACACUGGGACUGAGACACGGCCCAGACUCCUACGGGAGGCAGCAGUGGGGAAUUUUGGACAAUGGGCGAAAGCCUGAUCCAGCAAUGCCGCGUGCAGGAUGAAGGCCUUCGGGUUGUAAACUGCUUUUGUACGGAACGAAAAGGCUCUGGCUAAUACCUGGGGCACAUGACGGUACCGUAAGAAUAAGCACCGGCUAACUACGUG
rnacentral:rRNA from 1 species